rnacentral:rRNA from 1 species
AUGAAGGUUUCCACUCUGCAGCCGCUACUUCUUCUGAUCAUCUUGUCUAGUUCUUGUUGCCUGAGUGCAAAUGCAGGUGCUCAUGCGGCUCAGGGAAAUCACCAUGAAAUCAAUCAGUUCAUGGUCGUGGCAACAAGCUCCCUGAAGCACAUCCCAGACGAUGCAGUCUGCUCUGGACACAAGGUAAUGCCGUCCCGCAACAGCACCGCCUGGGUGCCGAUGAACCGCCCGCACGGCCCAUGCUCGUCGUCAUCAUCAAGGGCAACGACGGUGGAUAAGGGUGUUGAUGUCGAUGACAUGCUCCUGUGGGACCAGCUUCGCACCAGCAACAUCCGGACGCAGCUCUCCGCCGAUGUUGGCAGUGCCGGUGCGGGUGUACCCAUAAUUGCCAGAACUACCAAGGUGUCUAACCAGGAUUACAUGCCGGCAUCACAGGCGGCAGUGGGGCAAAACUCAGGGACGUCAAAAUCGAUCCAAAAGUCUGAUCAGACGGCGACUGGCGAGCACCACGCAACGGCGAGCCAGACGGUGGUCGUCGACACGAGCAGCGACAUCCCGUGGGUGCAGUGCCUCCCGUGCCCCAUCCCGCAGUGCCACCUUCAGAAGGACCCAUUCUAUGACCCGGCCAAGUCGAGUACAUUCGCUCCAAUCCCCUGUGGCUCCCCAGCCUGCAAGGAGCUCGGCAGCAGCUACGGCAAUGGCUGCUCAGGCAGCACGGACCAGUGCAAGUACACUGUUAACUAUGGCGACGGUAGGGCAACGUCCGGGACAUAUGUCACUGACACGCUGACGAUGUCCCCCACCAUCCUAGUCAAGGACUUCCGGUUCGGAUGCAGCCAUGCCGUGAGGGGCUCCUUCAGCGACCAGACCGCCGGCGUUCUGGCCCUCGGCGGCGGUGGUGGGUCGCUUCUGGAGCAGACGGCGGAGGCCUACGGCAACGCCUUCUCCUACUGCAUCCCGCACCCGAGCUCCUCUGGCUUUCUCUCGCUGGGCGGGCCGGCGGAGGCCUCCUCCAAGUUCGCACGCACGCCCCUGUUCAAGAACAAACAUGCGCCGACGUUCUACAUCGUGCACCUGGAGGCAAUCACCAUGGCCGGGAAGAGACUUGGUGUGCCGCCGGCUACCUUUGCCGGCGGCGCAGUGAUGGACUCUGGUGCAGUAGUCACGCAGUUGCCACCGGCAGCGUACGCUGCACUGCGAGCCGCGUUCAGAAGCGCCAUGGCAGCAUAUGGCCCACUGGCGGCACCCGUGCGCAACCUCGACACAUGCUACGACUUCACUCGCUUCCCUGAGGUGAAGGUCCCCAAGGUUUCUCUCGUAUUCGCUGGUGGCGCCACCUUGGAGCUCGACCCGGCAUCCAUAAUGUUGGAUGGCUGCCUGGCGUUCGCGCCCACCCCCGGUGAAGAAUCCGUCGGCUUCAUCGGCAACGUCCAGCAGCAGACUUACGAGGUUCUCUACGACGUCGGCGGCGGGUCCGUGGGUUUCCGCCCUGCUGCGUGCUGA